UACGGGGGGGGCAAGCGUUGUUCGGAAUUACUGGGCGUAAAGGGUUCGUAGGUGGCUUGCUAAGUCAGACGUGAAAUCCCUCAGCUUAACUGGGGAACUGCGUCUGAGACUGGUGAGCUUGAGUGCAGGAGAGGAACGCGGAAUUCCAGGUGUAGCGGUGAAAUGCGUAGAUAUCGGGAGGAAUACCGAUGGCGAAGGCAGGUCUCUGGGCUAUAACUGACGCUCAUGCACGAAAGCGUGGGGAGCAAACAGG
rnacentral:rRNA from 1 species